GCAGUGAACUGGCACGCCAGGAUGAGGAGGAAGCCCUGUAGGGGCUGGAGGUGAUGGAUGUUUUCUCCGGUUCUCAGACUCCACAUCUUUCGGAUGUAGAGCCAGGGAUAGUGC
rnacentral:miRNA from 10 species